AAUCAACGCUGGCGGCGUGCCUAACACAUGCAAGUCGAACGAGAAAGUGGAGCAAUCCAUGAGUAAAGUGGCGACCGGGUGAGUAACACGUGACUAACCUACCUUCGAGUGGGGGAUAACCUCGGGAAACCGGGGCUAAUACCGCAUAACAUCUUUGAAGUGGAAAUUUCGGAGAUCAAAGGAGCAAUUCGCUGGAAGAGGGGGUCGCGGCUGAUUAGCUAGUUGGCGGGGUAACGGCCCACCAAGGCAAAGAUCGGUAGCCGGCCUGAGAGGGCGC
rnacentral:rRNA from 1 species